AUCAAUGGACUACGACGCGAUCAAGUACCAGUGGUACCUGAUGAACCAGUUGUGCCUGGUGGACCAGUUGUACCUGGUGGACCAGUUGUACCUGGUGAACCAGUGGUACCUGAUGAACCAGUUGUACCUGGUGGACCAGUUGUGCCUGGUGGACCAGUUGUAAGUUUAUUUCUCACAUGGUCGUUUAUUAAGAUGAAGGAUGGGUCAGCGGGCUGUCCCUGAGUUAAGUCUGUUACUGUUAGUCGAGGAAAGAUUAUUAGCGCACCUCCCUUUACACACACAAACACACCAUCAACCAACCAACUAACCUAAUUAACUAAGCAAUUCUUUUUUUUUUCUUAAAGGAUAUUACUGUACUCCAUGUUCAACAUGACUCUCAUGUUUAUGGUCCAAACUGAAAAAAUCAACUGGCGACAUGCAUUGGCGGUGUUUGGGUGUGAACUGAGUUCACUCUUUCCUUCGCAGAGGUUUUCGAAGGAAAUCAACUUUUCACCAUGGCGUUGGAAGGUACGUGAUAUGAAGACAAUCGCAGGGUCUUCUCCUCUUUCUUCGCCCGCGCCCCUUUAAAAGCUUCUGUGGAGGACAGAGAGGUUGACCGAUAUUCAAUCAAAGUAUGGUCUCGAAACUCUGCAAAGUCUUUGUUCUACUUUUCCUUCACGGAUUGAUAGGGAUGCAACUACCUGAAAAAUACAAGGAGAAUUUCGACGUUUCGAGCGAGGGGCCUUCGUCGGAAAGUUAAUAAAGUUAUGCUCGGAGAAGACGAUGAAUUUUCGAGAUAAUCAUGCAAUGGCAUUCAGCAGUGCUGUUGAAAGGAUUGAAAAUUUCGAGUGUAAAUUUUAUACAUUUAUUAAGACCUAACCAGGAGCAGUAAUGUGAAAAAUGCAACUAUAGUAUAGGCCCUCUGCCAGGAAUCGAACCUGCAGCCCUGUGAUUCCGGUGCAGUGCUCUAACCAACUGAGCUGCGGAGACCAGUUGUCAAGCUCUAACCACGAGUUCGUGAAAAUAUACUAUAUAGACGCUUUGAAGUUUGGGGAGUUUCUAGACCAUGCUUUCAUUGACUAUUGGCUGACAAAUGUAACUGAAAGUUUAUUUAAGCUGGGCGCAUACCCUGCGAUUUUUAUUUAGUUUGCUUAUUUACGGUUUGGAUGCAUUUAAAACGAAGGCCAGUCAAUUGCAUAAUUUGUUAGCUCGUUUUUCUCGCUCUCUUCACUGGCUUCGUUAAUUAACAUGCACCUACGCUUAACUAAAAUCGUUGAGUGUGCGCCCGCUUAAGCAUGCAGUUCGUAUAUCGAUUGCGUAUCCAAGGUUCUGAGUCGGGAUAAAAUUCCACGAAGUAUUCUACAAUUAUCUAUUUGUGUUUUGUUAUGUUGUAAGUACUAUUUAAAGCAGGAGUAUUUUAGCAGAUAUAAAACACGAGAGCGCAGCUCGAGUGUUUUAUAUCUGAUAAAGCACGGACUACGAGUGUUUUAAAUGGCUUAAAAAGCGAUCCAUGAUAUACAGUACAAAUAUAACGACAACACAACUACAAAUUGAGUUGGUUAUGCAAAUUAAAAAAUGCUCCCGUUGUCUUGCUUCAGAUUAUCGAAAUAUUUUAUUCAAGUGCGCUUACUUUUUGUUUCUUGUUUCGCACAGAGAAUUAAAUUUGUUUGUAUAAAAUGAGACUGAAUUGUGAUAAGUUCAAUACUGUUCUCUUCCAGUCUCGGAAAUUAUGUUAUGAUUCAGCAAGUGCAAUUUUAUCCCGAUGCGUUUGUUUGGAUGCGCAGUCGAAACCCAGAACUAGUUAUUUUUGACCGUGUUCGCUUUUCACCCCCAAGCACCGCCAAUGUUUUGAAUAUUGCAUGUUGAUCUCUUCCGGAAUGUACGUAUUGUAUGUAUUUUUUACGUGAUUUAAAUAACAAGUAUAGAGGUCGUUAGCGCCGCUCGGCCCCUUAUCGCUGCUCAGGUUGAUGAAAAUUUAUGUAUUCUAGGGUUUUUCCCCGGGUUCUCCGGUUUCCCUUCUGACCUUAAGGUCUUAUAAUUAAUUGCUUCGUGUAAUGGCAUUAAUCAAUUAUAUAAUUAGUUAUUAUCUUUAAGAGAGAUAGUAUAUAACGUGAUUGUUGUAUAAUUACCGUAAACGUUUCUCAAUGAUGUUUAUUUGUAUGCAAUAAACCCCGCAUAUAAGAACCUAGAAUUGAAGAACCUCUUAGGCUAAAAUAUUUUAUUUAGACCCCCAUUAAAUAAGAACCUGUUCAGGCAAGAAUUUCAAAACAGAUUCUUAUACUAUCAAAUAGAAUCAAAAUUAAGUCAUAAGUUACAAUCAGUGUAGUUUGAAAGUGCUUAUAUAGGGUUGAUGUACAGUGUGUCCCCAAAAAAGUACCCUUAUAACAAUAGGAUUAUUUCUAUAGAGGGUACUUUUUUGGGGGGACACACUGUAGAGCGUUUGCACUCAUUCCCCAGGGAUCAACUCAACAAAAGCCAUGGCGGCCAUGUUGGUUUUCCAGACAAAAGAGUCUAAUUAAAAUUAUUUUGAAUUGGAACACCAACAUGGCGGCUGUGACGUCAUGUGCAAACGCUUUAUAGUGCAUAUACUGUCAUUUUUUUAGAUCAUUUGUGCAUAAUUUAUAUAAAUCAUAAAAAUGAGUUGCUUUUCUCUAACAAAAUAAGAACCUAUUUAAAAAUUUGUUUAGCCUAAUUUCCUGAUAAGCACCAUUUACAUAAGAACCUGUUUAGGCUAACUUGGAAAAUCUAGGUUAUUAUAUGCGGGGUUUUACUGUUUCCUAAUUUUGAUGUGAUUUAAAAAUUGUAAUUUAAAGCUAGUUUACACUACAAAAAUGUACAUGUGAUCAUUGUAUAGUGUCACCAAACUUCGACUCCAGACCUACCGGUCUUGAAGAGCUUUACAAUAGCUGUAUGUACUUUGAUCAACACAUAUACUUUCAAUAAAGAAACUGUAGUCUGUGUAGAGUAUACCAGCAUAAUUGAUACAACUAUUUCAUGAAAUAGACGAAAUUCACAUACAUUUUAGGGCAGACCAUUAGAUAGGGGAGAGGGCGAGCCACAAAAAAAUUCUCGCAAAGGAAAACAAAAGUCACGCGAUCUUUCACAACGGCCAGUUUAUAAUGAUUUAUACCUGCAUGUAAACCACAUAUAAAUCAUAAAUAUUCUCUAGUUAUAAUCACUCCGCCUAUUUUCAGUUCUAAAAUGUUGUAUUUCGGCUGAUGAGAAAGAUCGUGACUCAAUCUUUACGACCGUUACGACCAUAUGGAAAUCAUGCAGGCUUUAUGGUUUGCCCCUUAUAAGAAUGUGGUCAAUUAUAAUAAUGUUUUUGUUAACUUGUCUCUCGUUUGUGUAUGUCCGACAUUUUAAAAAGACAUUUAAAUUUCCCAAGAUUGU
rnacentral:lncRNA from 1 species